ACUGGCUUAUUUCACUUAUCAUAAUAUUCUCUCUAGGCCCAUCCAUGCUGUUACAAAGGGAAGGAGGACGCCUGGGUCUGAAUCACUAAGGAAAACCCCAGAGCGGAGGUCUCUAGAAACGGGAGCCACACAGCCUGUGCUCACCUGUUGCACUCAGAAUGCAUAAAGCGUCGAUGCUUUACAUGUGAAUGCUCAACUGUUUCCUACCUGCCCUGGCCAGCUGUGGCCUCUGCUCAAGGCAACAAAGCUUCAAUUAUAGAAGAUAAAUAAAUCCCAGAUACCUGCUUCCAGUCAGCCUCCACUGGGAGCUUGGGUGGCUGGGGGCCAUGGCCAGCCUGCAAACAGCCAUCAGCCACUCACCCAGGCUGGCCAGGCACCCCAACAGGACGCCCCCACUGUUUUUUAGACAUUUGGAGAGAAGGAGUUGGAGUUCAAGUCCUGCCAUUCACACAUUUAAUCAUUCCUUCGGUCAACAAAUACUUAUCCAACGCUUGCCAGGUAUCACCUGAAUAUAACCAAAUAGCAAACAAGACUUCAGUUACAUUAACAACUCAACAAAACCUUAGUUAGUCAGGCCCCAAACUUGGAAGAGAUCAUGUUAAUAGAGUUUAAUAACAAAGGGAUUAUUUACAAAAAGUGUGGGCAAGACCAAAGGGCAAUCACAAGAGAUAACGUGUCUAUCAGGGCCAGUUGCGGCUGUUUUCAAGCCUGGGCCCGCCCCGGUAGGGACAAGAGGAGAGAACUGUUAUGAAAGCCCAGAGAUAAAAAGAACUGUUUGGAGAGUGCCGUGUGGCAGGAGCUAUGCCAUUCAGUUAAGGAAUGCAACCAGCCCACUAAGGAUCUUGAAGGAGGAACCUGGAGGAAUAAAUGCCCCAGGCUCGCUCUCAUCACUCUCUGAUUUCUUGCUGAUAUUUCCUAUUAACUGAACAGAGGUGCAAGGGAGCAGAUGGAUAUAAACUAAACAGGUCAGCUUUCCCCAUGCACAGAGCAGGGUGGAAAAGGAUGGAGAGUGUUCUGGAGGGACAGGCUGUAUAUCCAGCAUGAACUCAAUGCUCCCAAACAUAGUGCUUCCAUGGUUAGGGCUUCCAGGGCACAAAAAAUUAGGUCUGGGAACUGAAAUCAUCGAGGGCUCCCGGUUAACCGUCUUCAUUAGCAUGACAUUACAAUUCAUUGUCUUUAUAAGCACGACUUUACUACUCCAAGCAACUUUUGUCCAGAAAGAUAAAUGUUGCAAAUCCAUUCUAAAUCCUCAACUUUUCAACAGACAACAUAAAAUGACCGUUAACCUUUCACGAGUCUUUGGAACCCUCGCUUCACUAUGCUCACCAAUCCCAAACCACUGCAUCAUGAUCCUUACCCAAUCCUAACCAAGCCACCACACUGAAUACCCACCUGAAACUAGAUCCAAUACUCAUCAAUUCCCCAACUUUGCUCUCCCUAUUCUUUUUUAAAAAUAUAUAUUUUUAUUUUUAUUGAUUUCAGUGAGGAAGGGAGAGGGAGGGAGAGAUAGAAACAUCAGUGAUGACAGAGAAUCAUUGAUCGGCUGCCUCCUGCAUGCCCCACACCAGGCAUUGAGCCCCCAACCUGAGCAUGUGCCCUGACCAGGGAUGGAACUGUGACCUCAUGGCUCAUAGAUCAAUGUUCAACCACUAAGCCACGCUGGCCAGCAUUUCUUUGUGGAUCCCAAAAGCAAUUCCACUCUUACUGAGUGAGCACUGUUGCAUGUUCCUAAUAUUUCGGAGGUAAGAACGAAGAUUGAAUUUACAUUCAUUCAGUGUGCGUCAUCUAACUCCAAAGACCUCCCUUGGCCAUGUCUCUUUGAAAGUGCUUCCUCCUGGCUCCACCGCCAAUAUGACUCUGACCCCCAGGGAAUUUAGCUCCUAUUGGCCUUCCUCUCCCCUCAUUCAUCAUGGAUUCUGAUUCUAACUUGAAGCCAUCCAGCAAUUUUUUAAGAAAACAAAGAUAUUCUCUUAAUGCAAGAACCUGUUAGGAAAACAAAAAAAAAUUUCUAAAUAUUACAUUCGUGGUUAGGGCUAACCCUAACCAAAAAAUUAAAAACCUUAAUGUCUACCCAUGGGACAUCAAUGUUAUGAAAUCACUAUAGAGUGAUAGAAAGGGAUGAGGUGGAUUUCUAUGUACUCACAGGCAAGGAUCUUCAUGACAUAUUGUUAAGUAUAUAAAACAAGGUGCUUACAAAUAUGUAUACUAUAAUCCAUUUUUUGUUAAAAUAGUAUACACAUACAUGCCUUUCCCUUACAUGUGUGUUCAGUAUAAAUCAGCAGCUCCCUGAUUCUGCUCACUCGUCACUCAUUGGACUGCAUGGGGGAAGUAAGAAAAGCUAUGAAACAAUAUUGAUGUUGUUAUAAAUGAAACCUCUGAUCUUUCCAAGGAUGUGUUGGUGUAUGUUGUUCUCCAGAAAAAGAGAAGGAAAGGGGAGAAGCCCUAAUGUGUGAAUUUGCUAUGCCCAUGAUGUAAACACUCUCACCACGGUUGAUUUCAAGCCACCAGUUGACAUCACCCAGUGUUUAUGAGAAGAGAUAUGCACCAGCAGCUCUCUCAAACCUGCUCAGCCGGCUCCAGCAGCACCACCCUGACUUUCUCUUUCCACAUUCUUAACAUAAGUAGUUGUUCUUAAAGGCCCAGCACAAUGCCUCUCUCCUCCAAGGACUUGAAAGUAGCAGAACAGCUUAUGUCUACCACUGCCAGGGAAAGAGGGGGAACAAGGGCUCCCAAAGAGGAGAUAUUCGCAUUCUUCAACUCUCAAGGUGUCCACGUAUUGCAUGAAGUCAACAACCUUAACUAAAGGGUCAGCGAGUUGACCUUCAUGUUUGCUAGCACUGCACUCCUUUGGGAGCAACCGAAAAACCCACUGUCAGGGGCUGAAGCAAGUAGACAUUUCUUUUCCUCCCGUCACAAAACGUCUGCAAAGGACAGACCAGGGCCUUAUGGAGCCGGCUCCUUCUGUCUUUCCACUCAGCUAUCCAUCCUGUUCCUGGCCACUGUGUGGUCACAGGACAUCUGCUCAGCAUCAUGCUGUGUUUCAGGCAAGAAAAACAGGAAUAUGAAGGGCGAAAGAUGCACGUGGGCAUGCCAGAUGAGUCUGACCCAGAGGAAGAGCCCACCGGGAGGCCUUCUCCAGGACUUCAGCUCAUAUCCCAUGGGCUAGACACAUAUCGUGUGGUCACCUCUCCCUUUAAGGGAGGUUGAGAAAUGGAGCACAUUCCCACCCCCCAAAAACGGGGUUCUGUUAGGCCACCAGAAGUAUUUGUCACAAACAUAAGUCACAACAGAAAUAAAGACAUGGAGAACAAGGACACAAGUCCUAAAAUGUCAGGCUCCUAACCAUGGUGACAGGAGCCACUCCACCGACCACCUGCAAGGUCCUAAUUUGGCGCGCGCGUGCACACACACACACACACACACACACACACGCAGAAGAACAUCCUAGGCUUCUCAUCUCUCCCAAUGUCCCUCUAAGAAACCCUGAUCCCAUCUCCUCAGGAAAGAAUGCAUGAUCGGCCCUAGAGACCAGGCAGCAGGGAGCCCUGAGGUGGCCCAGGGCACAGUCAUCCCAAAUAUUGGCAAGCCCCCUCUCAAGAACAAUUAGGUUCCACCUCACCACUCAGCCUGUCCACACAGGCUGGGCCUUCCUCCUUGGCUAGACAGCUCUGAGCCAGCAUCUCAAACCCAACGCUUCGGAGAUUCUCCAGAGCAGUGGUCUCUAAAACCUCUGCUCACACACUUCCUCAUUAAAAAAUGGUUAGCCAUUGGGAGCGGUCAAUGGGGGGAAAGGAGACAUGUAAUACAUUCAACAAUAAAGUAUUUUAAAAAAUAAA